rfam:Magnaporthe poae ATCC 64411 unplaced genomic scaffold supercont1.2, whole genome shotgun sequence.
GGACGAAUAGCUCAGUGGUAGAGCGAAAGAUUGCAGUCAAGAAGCGACUUAUCUUUAGGUCACGAGUUCGAACCUCGUUUCGUCCU